UGUUUGUCCCUCUUUUGCUCAGCUUCUUUAUUCUCUGUCAUUUGGUCUUCUAUAUCGCUAAUUCUUUCUUCUGCCUCAUUUACUCUAGCAGUGAUAGCCUCCAUUUUUUUAUUGCACCCCAUUAAUAGCUUUUUUGUUAUCAACUUGGUUAGAUUUUAGUUCUUUUAUUUCUCCAGAAAGGGCUUUUAUAUCCCCGAGAGGGUUUCUCUAAUAUCUUCCAUGCCUUUUUCGAGCCCGGCUAGAACCUUGAGAAUUGUCAUUCUGAACUCUAGAUCUGACAUAUUACCAAUGUCUGUAUUGAUUAGGUCCCUAGGCUUUGGUACUGCCUCUUGUUCUUUUUUUUUGUGGUGAAUUUUUCCGUCUUGUCAUUUUGUCCAGAUAAGAGUAUAUGAAGGAGCAAGGAAAAUACUAAAAGGGUGGCAACAACCCCAGGAAAAUAUGCUUUAACCAAAUCAGAAGAGAUUCCAAAUCGUGAGGGGGGAGAAAGGGGAUAAAAAGAGGUUCAGGAAGAAAGAAAAAAAAAGGAAAAAAGAAAAAAAAAGAAAAGAAUUUUAAAAAGAAAAUGAAUAAAGAAAAGUAUAAAAAAGAAAAAAAUAUAUAUGUUAGAUAAACUAGUUAAAAAUGUUAAAAAAGAAAGGGUAAAAGUUAAAAAAACAUUUUAGCAGAAGAAGAUAAAAAAAAAUGAAAAAGAAAAAAAAUUAAAUUAACUGCAAGACUAAAAAAUCACAGGGAGAAAGCCAUGAGUUCUGUGCUUUGCUUUCUCUUCUUCUGGAAUUCUGCUGCUCGCCUUGGUAUUGAAACUGCACUCCUUGGUAGGUGAAGUUGGUCUUGGCUGGAUUUCUUGUUGAUCUUCUGGGGGAGGGGCCUGUUGUAGUGAUUCUCAAGUGUCUUUUCCCCAGGUGGAAUUGCACCACCCUUACCAGGGGCCAGGCUGAGUAAUCCUCUCAGGUUUGCUUUCAGGAGUUUUUGUUCCCUAAGUGCUUUCCAUAGAGUUCCGGAGGACGGGAAUGAAAAUGGCAGCCUCUUGGUCUCUGGCCCAGAGGAGCCGAGAGCCCGGGGCCCCACUCCUCAGUGUGCCCUCAGAGAACAGCGCCCAGUAACUCCUGUCUGCCUGACCUCCGGCCGUGCCCCGGAGUCACCGAGCCUGCCACCAGUUCAAGAACAGCAUGGUUCUUCAUGGUACUGCAGUGUUGAACAGGAAGGUCUUAAACCUGUAUAUGUGGUCUACCUUCUUAGAUCAUAGGACGACGCUACCAGGAGCUGAAUUAGCUGGAGAAUCUUAUGUUAUAGUAUCUGGAAAAUCAAAAGGAUUAUUUAUUUGAGAGAGAGAGUGGGGGAGAAGCAGAGGGAAAGGAAGAGAGAGAACCUCAAGCAGACUCCAUGCUGAGUUGGGAGCUUGACCCGGGGCUUGAUCCUACCACCCUGAGAUCAUGACCUGAGCUGAAACCAAGAGUCGGAGGCUUAACUGACUGAGACAUCCAGGAGCCCCAGACAGUUACUUUUAAGAGGCUUUCAUGUUAUCUGAGGACCACUUGACUGACCACCAGAUGUCUGGAAACCUCACUUCAGGAAGCUCUCCUUCAAGUAUUUGAGGAAUGGAAGUUGAGGCAACACCUGGGUUAAAAUUAUAUAGUUGUUGAAUAGUUAAGAGAUGCUGCUUAUCAUGCAUUUAUUUCUAUUGGAGGGAGGCCUCAAGGCCAUUUCUCAGUACAAAGCCUAAAACUGACACUUUCUUCUCCACAUUUGAGAACUUAUUACCAUGUGUUCAAUAGCUUCUGAGGAGAUGAUGGUGCUUUAGAAAUCAUUGGUGGGGGGAGAGCAGAACCACAUAGAACUUUCUUCCCCAAUAAAAUCAUAUUUUAACACUG